UGAUAUGAUUUUUAACAUAAAAAAUAACUCAGAAUGAUAUAUAUAUGAAUUCUGGAAAGCGCCUAUUUUCCAAGUUAUGAUUUACAAACGCGGUUAUUUUGGCGAAUUUUACUGGGCGCAGCACCCUGGAGACCACUGAUGAUGAAGUCGAAAAUGACGUCAGCGACAGAACUCUUCCUCCUCACUCACUUGCUGAUGCCCGUGGUAUUGAUGGGACAGGAGGUGGAGCUGUGCUCUGAACAUGUCAAUUUUGGAUAAUUUCGGUACUUCCACAUUAAAAUAAUUACUUGGCUGUUCAGUUAAAUGUCACACAAAUGUGUGCUACUGUCAUUCGGAGUGCAGUAUUCAGGAGGGGGUCUCACAGUUAGGCUGGUCUAUCAGGCUAAUCAUGUUGGUUUGCACCAAUAAUCCUUUUUCCAUCCAAUAUAAAGUCGCUUUAAAAUAAUGCGCAUUAAAAAGUUGAUGCGACACAAGUGAUGGAAAAGCGGUUAAGUCGCUUCAACGCCAGCUUUGUCGACCUCAUUUAUAUCGCUCUAAAAAGGUGGAUUGGCUAGAGAUAAGUCGACAUAAAAUUGAUGGAAAAGCGUUAAAGCGACGUAGGAAGUUCGUACAUGCGCAGUGCUGUUAUUAUAUGCGCGAGAAUUUGAAAGCUAAGUUUGGUCGAGAAAAGGCAGGCGUCAAGGAAUGGGGCUGGGGGAAAACGCUGUUUUGAUUUUUUCGAAGAAAUGGACCAGCUAGCUACUGGGUGCCAGGCCGGUCGUGGUUGCGAGGUCCUCUGCUGUUGACAGCACCGUUCCCCCUGAUGACCAAUCUGGUGUGGAAGACGAGAAAGAGGAUGAAGGGGAUGAUGAGGAAGAAGAGGGUGCUGAAGACUACAGUGGACAAGUGACCAUGGAGGAUUCAGAGCCCCCAGGCCCCACCCCAGGUGCAGCAGGAGGUAGUCGCCUGUUUCGCAGGCCACUGAAGAAAAAGUCUUUACUAGCUGCAUAGAGUCAGCAGCUGUCGGACUUACUGAAAAGUCAAGAGGCAGGAGGAGGAAGAUGGAGAGAUGCUAACUUCUCUGAGAACGUCCGUCAAGCGCCAGUUUGGAGCAUCAGAAUAACCCGCCCAUUGCCUCUUCAAGCAGCCAAGUGGCCUUACCAUUUAAUGUUAUUUUAUAUUUAAUACUAAUUAUGAAUAUUUAUUAAAUGCAUUUUUAUGAAAAAUGCCCAUGUUUGUUUGUUUUUAAUAUACAUAUUCACUUGAUGUGAAUUCUGUGAUCUUUCACAAAUGCAUGUGAGGCAUCAGGUGACGCAUCAGGGUAUCUCUUAUUGCCGCUGCCUCAGUGUCCUCCUCAGCUGACUCAGGAUCUUCUCCUCUGCUUUAUAAUGUUAAAUUCAACUCUUCAAGUGUUAAUUCAACAGUACAAUAACACUAAAAUGAGUGGGACCAUAUGCUCUAAGCAGUGUUGACUUGAGACUGCAAAUUUUACCAUGUGAUUAGGCGUACAGCCUCAGACAAAAUAAAAAAUCACCUGUCAUGUAGGACAGUGUUUCCCAACCAGGGGUACGUGUACCACUAGGGGUUCGUGAGCACACUGCAGGGGGUACUUGGAAAAAUGAAAAAAAAAA